rnacentral:rRNA from 1 species
UACGGAGGGUGCGAGCGUUGUCCGGAAUCACUGGGCGUAAAGGGCGCGUAGGCGGCCUGAUAAGUAGGGGGUGAAAUCCUGCGGCUUAACCGCAGGGCUGCCUUCUAAACUGUCGGGCUAGAGCACGGGUAGAGGCAGAUGGAAUUCCCGGUGUAGCGGUGGAAUGCGUAGAGAUCGGGAAGAACAUCAGUGGCGAAGGCGAGUCCCUGGACAACACCUGACACUGAGGCACGAAAGCUAGGGAGUAAACAGGA